AGACUGACCUGGCGGAGGAGACAUCAUGAUUGUAAAGGUGGCUUUCCCAGGACGAGGCUUUCCCCGCACUCCAGAUGCGCUGGCCCUGCGAUUUCCCCAGAUGUGGGAGACGCGGCUGCAUUACGGCUGCCUAAUCUGUGGUAGUCGGGGACUGUGUCUGUGCUUUCCCCUG